rnacentral:rRNA from 1 species
AAGCAAUCUCGGGCUUGGUUAGUAGUUGGGUGGGUGACCGCUUGGGAAUAACAAGUGUGAUAAGCA